rnacentral:rRNA from 1 species
GGCCGCGGGAAUUCGAUUCCGGAUCCAGAGUUUGAUCAUGGCUCAGGACGAACGCUGGCGGCGUGCCUAAUACAUGCAAGUCGAGCGAAUCGAUGGGAGCUUGCUCCCUGAGAUUAGCGGCGGACGGGUGAGUAACACGUGGGCAACCUGCCUAUAAGACUGGGAUAACUUCGGGAAACCGGAGCUAAUACCGGAUACGUUCUUUUCUCGCAUGAGAGAAGAUGGAAAGACGGUUUACGCUGUCACUUAUAGAUGGGCCCGCGGCGCAUUAGCUAGUUGGUGAGGUAAUGGCUCACCAAGGCGACGAUGCGUAGCCGACCUGAGAGGGUGAUCGGCCACACUGGGACUGAGACACGGCCCAGACUCCUACGGGAGGCAGCAGUAGGGAAUCUCCCACAAUGGACGAAAGUCUGACGGAGCAACGCCACGUGAACGAAGAAGGCCUUCGGGUCGUAAGGUUCCGUUGUUAGGGAAUAACAAGUACCAGAGUAACUGCUGGUACCUUGACGGUACCUAACCAGAAAGCCACGGCUAACUACGUGCCGGCAGCCGCGGUAAUACGUAGGUGGCAAGCGUUGUCCGGAAUUAUUGGGCGUAAAGCGCGCGCAGGUGGUUCCUUAAGUCUGAUGUGAAAGCCCACGGCUCAACCGUGGAGGGUCAUUGGAAACUGGGGAACUUGAGUGCAGAAGAGGAAAGUGGAAUUCCAAGUGUAGCGGUGAAAUGCGUAGAGAUUUGGAGGAACACCAGUGGCGAAGGCGACUUUCUGGUCUGUAACUGACACUGAGGCGCGAAAGCGUGGGGAGCAAACAGGAUUAGAUACCCUGGUAGUCCACGCCGUAAACGAUGAGUGCUAAGUGUUAGAGGGUUUCCGCCCUUUAGUGCUGCAGCUAACGCAUUAAGCACUCCGCCUGGGGAGUACGGCCGCAAGGCUGAAUCUCAAAGGAAUUGACGGGGGCCCGCACAGGCGGUGGAGCAUGUGGUUUAAUUCGAAGCAACGCGAAGAACCUUACCAGGUCUUGACAUCCUCUGACAACCCUAGAGAUAGGGCUUUCCCCUUCGGGGGACAGAGUGACAGGUGGUGCAUGGUUGUCGUCAGCUCAUGUCGUGAGAUGUUGGGUUAAGUCCCGCAACGAGCGCAACCCUUGAUCUUAGUUGCCAGCAUUCAGUUGGGCACUCUAAGGUGACUGCCGGUGACAAACCGGAGGAAGGUGGGGAUGACGUCAAAUCAUCAUGCCCCUUAUGACCUGGGCUACACACGUGCUACAAUGGAUGGUACAAAGGGCUGCAAACCUGCGAAGGUAAGCGAAUCCCAUAAAGCCAUUCUCAGUUCGGAUUGCAGGCUGCAACUCGCCUGCAUGAAGCCGGAAUCGCUAGUAAUCGCGGAUCAGCAUGCCGCGGUGAAUACGUUCCCGGGCCUUGUACACGCCGCCCGUCACACCACGAGAGUUUGUAACACCCGAAGUCGGUGAGGUAACCUUCAUGGGGCCAGCCGCCUAAGGUGGGACAGAUGAUUGGGGUGAAGUCGUAACAAGGUAGCCGUAGGAUCCCGAAUCACU